rnacentral:rRNA from 1 species
CCUACGGGUGGCAGCAGUGAGGAAUAUUGGUCAAUGGGCGCUAGCCUGAACCAGCCAAGUAGCGUGAAGGAUGACUGCACUAUGGGUUGUAAACUUCUUUUAUAUGGGAAUAAAGUGCAGUAUGUAUACUGCUUUGCAUGUACCUUAUGAAUAAGGAUCGGCUAACUCCGUGCCAGCAGCCGCGGUAAUACGGAGGAUCCGAGCGUUAUCCGGAUUUAUUGGGUUUAAAGGGAGCGUAGGCGGGUUGUUAAGUCAGUUGUGAAAGUUGGCGGCUCAACCGUAAAAUUGCAGUUGAUACUGGCAGCCUUGAGUAGAGGAGAGGUAGGCGGAAUGCGCGGUGUAGCGGUGAAAUGCUUAGAUAUCACGAAGAACUCCGAUUGCGAAGGCAGCAUGCUGGACUGUAACUGACGCUGAGGCUCGAAAGUGUGGGUAUCAAACAGGAUUAGAUACCCUGGUAGUC